rnacentral:rRNA from 1 species
GACGAACGCUGGCGGCGUGCUUAACACAUGCAAGUCGAACGGAAAGGCCUGCUUUCCCUUGUGGAUUGCGGGUACUCGAGUGGCGAACGGGUGAGUAACACGUGAGUGAUCUGCCCCCAACUUGGGUAUAAGCCUGGGAAACUGGGUCUAAUUCCCGAUAGGACUGCAGGGUGGUGCCUGUGGUGGAAAACGAUUUUCUAGUGGUUGGGGAUGAGCUCGCGGCCUAUCAGCUUGUUGGUGGGGUAAUGGCCUACCAAGGCGGCGACGGGUAGCCGGCCUGGGAGGGUGGACGGCGAGAUUGGGACUGAGAUACGGCCCAGACUCCUACGGGAGGCAGCAGUGGGGAAUAUUACACAAUGGGCGGAAGCCUGAUGCAGCGACGCCGCGUGGGGGAUGACGGCCUUCGGGUUGUAAACUCCUUUCGACCGCGAGGAAGCCACCUGGUUGGAAGGGUGGUGACGGUAGUGGUAGAAGAAGCACCGGCUAACUACGUG